UGACGGGUGGCGGACGGGUGAGUAACGCGUGGGUAACCUGCCUCAUACAGGGGGAUAACAGUUGGAAACGGCUGCUAAUACCGCAUAAGCGCACAGUACCGCAUGGUACGGUGUGAAAAACUCCGGUGGUAUGAGAUGGACCCGCGUCUGAUUAGGUAGUUGGUGGGGUAACGGCCUACCAAGCCGACGAUCAGUAGCCGGCCUGAGAGGGUGAACGGCCACAUUGGGACUGAGACACGGCCCAA
rnacentral:rRNA from 1 species